rnacentral:tRNA from 1 species
AGAGAAAUAGCUCAGUGGUAGAGCACAUGCUUAGCAUGCAUGCAGGUUUAGUCCCCAGUUCCUCCA